GUGGAAGAAGUGAGAGAAACUAAGCUACAUCCUGGAAGACUGGAGGUGGAAAGAAGGAAGUUUUAGCCUUCCCAGCAACCUUAAACUUUCCUACCAAAGGGGAACUGGUGGAAAAAGGAAAGUUUCUUCCAAGCAUUAAGACCGUGAUGUGAGUCAGCUUCAGAGAAACAGCAUCAGAUCACCUGAGAAUCAGCAUGCAAGCCUCAGGUUUGAAAGGCACCAGGACACCUGCAAGAGGAGCCCCAGUUGUGCCUCCUCCAUGAUGAGGCUCAUACAGAGGUGCAGCCCCUCAGAUGGUGACAGGGGGAGAGCAACCAGUGCCCUCACAGCACUGUCACUGUGUGUGACAAUGGUCAUGAAGCAGGGAUGGGAAGUGCUGCCUGGACUGCCCCCAGCAGAAAGCCCCGUGGUGUCCCUUCCCCGCUGGUGCAGAGGCUCCGGGCUGCCACCGCAGAUCAUUUGACAAAUUUCACGGGCUUUUGAUACAGGCACAAAGGUUCACAGCCUGCUCUUGUCUAGUUGGUGAGACCGUCCAGUCCCUCUUGUGUGAUUUGCGGUGGCAUUGCAGACUUUGAGAACAAUCUGAAGGACAAACCCCAAGCUGUUUGGAUGCUGCUCAGCCCCAAAUACGAUUUUAUCGUGAGAGAGGCAUCACAAAGACUGAGUGCAACAUAAUGGCGAGCCAGAGCUAUUCCGACGUGAGUGUCUUCUCUGCACUGCAAUGCAGGGAUGGAGCUAAGGAUGAGCAAUGGGAGUACUGUCAGGAUUACAGCCAGGGCUAUCCCAAGAAGACGGAGGUCAGGAGCUGUUUUUUGGAAGAGGAGUUUGUCCAUUAACUAAAUCAGCUGGAGUGGAAAUAAGGAGCAGCCCUGCUGGUCGGAUGGCAGAUGAUGGCACCGACAGAGGCUUCCCAGUGUGACACCCCAAGGCUGCCCCUUCCUUGGGCCAGCGUCCUCGUCCCGCAGA